rnacentral:rRNA from 1 species
GACGAACGCUGGCGGCGUGCUUAACACAUGCCAGUCGAACGGAAAGGCCCCUUUGGGGGUACUCGAGUGGCGAACGGGUGAGUAACACGUGAGUAACCUGCCCUUGACUUCGGGAUAACUUCAGGAAACUGGGGCUAAUACCGGAUAGGAAUCCUUGCUGCAUGGUGGGGGUUGGAAAGCUUCGGCGGUUUUGGAUGGACUCGCGGCUUAUCAGCUUGUUGGUGGGGUAGUGGCUUACCAAGGCUUUGACGGGUAGCCGGCCUGAGAGGGCGACCGGCCACAGUGGGACUGAGAUACGGCCCAGACUCCUACGGGAGGCAGCAGUGGGGAAUAUUGCACAAUGGGCGGAAGCCUGAUGCAGCAACGCCGCGUGCGGGAUGACGGCCUUCGGGUUGUAAACCGCUUUCAGCAGGGGCGAAGCUUGUGGUGACGGUACCUGCAGAAGAAGCACCGGCUAACUACGUG